rnacentral:rRNA from 1 species
UACGAAGGGGGCUAGCGUUGCUCGGAAUUACUGGGCGUAAAGGGCGCGUAGGCGGACAGUUUAGUCAGAGGUGAAAGCUCAGGGCUCAACCUUGGAAUUGCCUUUGAUACUGGCUGUCUUGAGUUCGGGAGAGGUGAGUGGAAUGCCGAGUGUAGAGGUGAAAUUCGUAGAUAUUCGGCGGAACACCAGUGGCGAAGGCGACUCACUGGCCCGAUACUGACGCUGAGGCGCGAAAGCGUGGGGAGCAAACAGG